AGCUUUGCGCAGUGGCAUUAUCAUAGCCAAUGAGGUUUAUCCGAGGUGUGAUUAUUGCUGCUUGAAAACGUGUAUUAUAAUAAGAUGGAAAAUACAAAAGAAAUGGACAGAUCCCUAGAUA
ensembl:snRNA U4 U4 spliceosomal RNA